rnacentral:rRNA from 1 species
GGGUGAGUAAUGCAUCGGAAUGUACCGUGUAAUGGGGGAUAGCUCGGCGAAAGCCGGAUUAAUACCGCAUACGCCCUGAGGGGGAAAGUGGGGGACCGUAAGGCCUCACGUUAUACGAGCAGCCGAUGUCUGAUUAGCUAGUUGGUGGGGUAAAGGCUCACCAAGGCGACGAUCAGUAGCGGGUCUGAGAGGAUGAUCCGCCACACUGGGACUGAGACACGGCCCAGACUCCUACGGGAGGCAGCAGUGGGGAAUUUUGGACAAUGGGCGCAAGCCUGAUCCAGCCAUGCCGCGUGUCUGAAGAAGGCCUUCGGGUUGUAAAGGACUUUUGUCCGGGAGCAAAUCCCAGUGGUUAACACCUACUGGGGCUGAGAGUACCGGAAGAAUAAGCACCGGCUAACUACGUGCCAGCAGCCGCGGUAAUACGUAGGGUGCAAGCGUUAAUCGGAAUUACUGGGCGUAAAGCGUGCGCAGGCGGUUGUGCAAGUCUGAUGUGAAAGCCCCGGGCUUAACCUGGGAACGGCAUUGGAGACUGCACGACUAGAGUGCGUCAGAGGGGGGUAGAAUUCCGCGUGUAGCAGUGAAAUGCGUAGAGAUGCGGGAGGAAUACCGAUGGCGAA